AUUGAACGCUGGCGGCAUGCCUUACACAUGCAAGUCGAGCGGCAGCGGGACCUUCGGGUUGCCGGCGAGCGGCGGACGGGUGAGUAAUGCCUAGGAAUCUGCCUGUUAGUGGGGGAUAACGCGGGGAAACUCGCGCUAAUACCGCAUACGUCCUACGGGAGAAAGCGGGGGCUCUUCGGACCUCGCGCUAACAGAUGAGCCUAGGUCGGAUUAGCUAGUUAGUGGGGUAAUGGCUCACCAAGGCGACGAUCCGUAACUGGUCUGAGAGGAUGAUCAGUCACCCUGGAACUGAGACACGGUCCAGACUCCUACGGGAGGCAGCAGUGGGGAAUAUUGGACAAUGGGCGAAAGCCUGAUCCAGCCAUGCCGCGUGUGUGAAGAAGGUCUUCGGAUUGUAAAGCACUUUAAGUCGGGAGGAAGGGCUGUAGGUUAAUACCCUGCGGUUUUGACGUUACCGACAGAAUAAGCACCGGCUAACUUCGUGCCAGCCGCCGCGGUAA
rnacentral:rRNA from 1 species